rnacentral:lncRNA from 1 species
CAAAUUCGGAUAAGGGAAAAGAGAAAGUAAUCGAAUAGCCGUUGUAAUCGUACGACAACAUUCGAGGUAAGUUCAUAAGUAUAUAAAAAUGGUUGUGAGAUUGAAAUAUGUAAUAUGUGUAUUGGAUUUGAUGCACUACGUGUGCGAUAAAGGCAAUAACUACGACAUUUAAAAUGGCGCUGGGUGCGUGAGAUUGUAAUAGCAUUGGCUGAGUAAAUGGAACUAUGUGGGUGACACAGAUAUAAGUUCGGUUUAAUGUAAUGGCACUAAAUGUGCGAUAUAAUUAUAGCUUCGGCUAAUUAAUUGGCACUAAGUGUGCGAUAUAAUUAUAGCUUUGGCUAAUUAAUUGGUACUAAGUGUGCGAUACAAUUAUAGCUUCGGCUAAUUAAUUGGCACUAAGUGUGCGAUACAAUUAUAGCUUCGGUUAAUUAAUUGGCACUAAGUGUGCGAAACCAUUAUAACUUCGGUUAAUUAAUGAGCACUAAGUGUGCAAGUUUGUUGAAUGUUCAAGGAUGAUUGAAUGAAUUAAUGUUUCGAGCAUUGAAAUGAUAAGCGUGACAGAUAAGAAGGUAAUGGUACAGGUAUGUACGAAACCUAUGUGGUGGAUGAUGUUAAGUAUGAAGUAGAUGAAAUUUUAUGUAAAUGAAUGGGGAAAUAUUAUUCGGGCCUUUGAGCCUAGCAGGCUAUAAUGUCGGUGAGAUACUAUUCGGGCUUUCGAGCCUAGGAGGCUAUAAUGCCGAUGAAAUGAUAUCGGGCCUCGAGCCUAGCAGGCGAAAUGCUGGUGAUUUGAGAAAAGUCUAAGACUAAGGUACCUCGUGUUAGAUUGACAAAUGAAUACAUUCAAUACGUUAAGAGGGCCAGGUACACAUUAUGUACUCAUAUGUGAGUUUGAUUUGAAUUGAAUCAUAAGUGUGAUGUGAUACAUAUGUGAAUAAAUGUUAUACCUAUAUAUAUGACCAUGAUACAUUCGGUCAAGGUGUGAAAGUAUGUGAAAGUAUUUGAUUUAUUUAUGUUAUAUGAAUUCAGAUUAAGUGUUAUAAGAAUGCUGAAUGUGCAUUAUGUGCUUGUGUAUAUUCAGCCUGAUGGAAAUAUACUUAAAAUAUGGCCUCUUGAGAAAUUGAAUAAUCGAAGUAUAAUUGCAUUUAUUUGUUUGCAUUGCUUAAAACUUACUAAGCUUAUAAAAGCUUACUCCGUUGUUACAUUCCUCUGUUUUAUAGAUUGUUGACUCCAGUUACCUGCUCGGGUUGGAGUUCGCCGGAGAUAUUAUCACACGUCGAGCUAACACUAUGGGUGUAGUGAUUUCAAAUACUUUGAGUCUAUGGCAUGUAUAGGUGUGUAAAUAUUAGAGUAUGUGAUCUGGCUUUAACCAUAUGUGUUGGCCUAUUUUGAUUAUAGGGUUGUAAAUCCAUUUUAAUUAUGCAUGAAUGUGCUAUGGUAUUACAUGAUGAGUUUAUAAUGAUUAAAGCAUGAAUUUUCCAAGUUUUUCUUAAGUUCUCGGUUUAGUCCCGAACCACCCCAGAUAUAUGUUUUGGGUCUCGUGAACCCAUUUAAGGGACAAGAUUGUAUGUGAAAAGAAAUUUUUUUAAUUAUUUGAGAUUUCAUGGCCCUGUUUAGUAUAGAAGUGUUAGUAAAAUUCAAGUAGCACCUCGAACCCCAUCCCAGCGUCGGAUGCAGGCGAGGGGUGUUACAUGUUCCGCCUUAGGGGGAAGCACCCGUGUGAGCGGGAGUAGACGAAGUGGAAGCGAGAAUGUCAGCUUGAGUAACGCAAACAUUGGUGAGAAUCCAAUGCCCCGAAAACCCAAGGGUUCCUCCGUAAAGUUCAUCCAUGGAGGGUGAGUCAGGGCCUAAGAUCAGGCCGAAAGGCGUAGUCGAUGGACAACAGGUAAAUAUUCCUGUACUACCCCUUGUUGGUUCCAAGGGAUGGAGGAGGCUAGGAUAGCAAAAAGAUGGUUAUCGGUUCAAGGACACAAGGUGACCCUCUUUUUCAGGGUAAGAAGGGGUAGAGAAAAUGCCCCGAGCCAAUGUUCGAGUACCAGGUGCUACGGCGCUGAAGUAACCCAUGCUAUACUCCCAGGAAAAGCUCGAACAACCUUCAACAAAAGGGUACCUGUACCUGAAACUGACACAGAUGGGUAGGUAGAGAAUACCUAGAGGCGUGAGACAACUCUCUCUAAGGAACUCGAAAAAAUAGCCCCAUAACUUCAGGAGAAGGGGUGCCUCCUUACAAAAGGGGUCGUAGUGACCAGGCUCGGGCGACUGUUUACCAAAAACACAGGUCUCCGCAAAGUCGUAAGACCAUGUAUGGGGGCUGACACCUGCCCAGUGCCGGAAAGUCAAGGAAGUUGGUGACCUGAUGACAGGAGAGCCGAUGACCGAAGCCCCGGUGAAUGGCGGCCGUAACUAUAACGGUCCUAAGGUAGCAAAAUUUCUUGUCGGGUAUGUUUUGACCCACACGAAAGGCGUAACGAUCUGGGCACUGUCUCGAAGAGAGGCUCAAUCA